rnacentral:lncRNA from 1 species
GUGGGUUAGUGAUAUGCCUGAAAUUUCUUUCUCACUUACAUGGUCCCGGAGAGAAAAGCUUCCCAUUCUUGAACUUUCUGGAGUUCUGAAUGACUAUGAUAUUUUUCAUAUCUCAAUAAUAUUACAAUUGAUUGAUUUAAAGAGCGUUUAAUCUUUUUUUAAAUUAGGGAUAAAUGUGGACAGCUACGUAAAACGAACAAGGAAGGCGGGGGAGGAAAGCGGAAGCCGCGGGGCCUUCUAAAUACGAAAGUCUCCGGAGCUUGCGCCAGGCUCUUCGCGGCGCCCCCCACUUAGACGCGGGGCUUCUGAGCGGGUGGGGGAGAAGGAACUGUUGCCGGUGCGGAGACCAGGCGGCCAGCGUCUGCAGGGAUGAACCUCGAGUUGCUGGG